rnacentral:misc_RNA from 1 species
GAUGAAGAACGCAGCGAAAUGCGAUAAGUAAUGUGAAUUGCAGAAUUCAGUGAAUCAUCGAAUCUUUGAACGCAUCUUGCGCUCCUUGGUAUUCUGAGGAGCAUGCCUGUUUGAGUUUCAUUAAAUUCUCAACUACACUGACUUUGAAUUGGUGUGGCUUGGAUUUGGGGGGAAAAUUGUUGUGGGCUUUUUGUAUAGUCUGCUCCCCUGAAAUUGAUUAGCGGUACCUUUGUGGAACUGUCUACAGGUGUGAUAAUUAUCUACAUCUUAGACAUCUGCUGGAAUGCUGCUUUCUAAACCUUACUUGUAUUGACAAUCUUGACCUCAAAUCAGGUAGGACUACCCGCUGAACUUAAGCAUAUCAAUAAGCGGAGGA